CAACUCCUUGGGGAAAUUCCCCGGGCGUAAGGAGAGAGAGUCUCAACCAGAAAUGGUAAUCCCGGCGCGGCAGCCGCUUGUUUGCAAAGACGGGCAGAUGAUGAUGUGUGUUGUGUUUCAUAUCCUUGUGAUGGAGACCUCAUACUAUCAUCGGUCAAGAGCUUUUACGAGACGGCGCCGUCAAAAAGCCGCCGCCUUAGCAAAGUAAUGCCAUCAUCAGUCAAAUGAGUCACAUCAGUUGUCUGUGGUUACUCAACGGGGGUCAUUA
rnacentral:RNase_MRP_RNA from 1 species